rnacentral:rRNA from 1 species
GGUUGAUCCUGCCAGUAGUCAUAUGCUUGUCUCAAAGAUUAAGCCAUGCAUGUCUAAGUAUAACUAUUUGUACUGAGAAACUGCGAAUGGCUCAUUAAAUCAGUUCUAAUUUAUUUGAUCAUACCUUACUACUUGGAUAACCGUGGUAAUUCUAGAGCUAAUACAUGCUAAAAAUCCCGACUUCUGGAAGGGAUGUAUUUAUUAGAUAAAAAACCAACCCGGGUAACCGGUUUCUUGGUGAUUCAUGAUAACUUUUCGAAUCGCAUGCCAUAGCGCGGCGAUGGUUCAUUCAA